rnacentral:rRNA from 1 species
CCUACGGGUGGCAGCAGUGGGGGAUAUUGCACAAUGGGGGGAAGCCUGAUGCAGCGACGCCGCGUGGGUGAAGAAGCGCCUCGGCGCGUAAAGCUCUGUCAGCAGGGAAGAAAAUGACGGUAAGUGAAGAAGAAGCCACGGCCAACAACGUGCCAGCAGCCGCGGGAAUACGGAGGGGGCGAGGGUUGUCCGGAUUUACGGGGUGUAAAGGGGGCGGAGGCGGCGAUGCAAGUCAGGCGUGAAAGCCCGGGGCCCAAGCCCGGGACGGCUCUUGGAACUGCGUGGCUGUAGUGCAGGAGAGGGAGGCGGAAUUCCUGGUGUAGCGGUGAAAUGCGUAGAUAUCAGGAGGAACACCGGUAGCGAAGGCGGCAUGCUGGCCUGCAACUGACGCUGAGGCCCGAAAGCGUGGGGAGCAAACAGGAUUAGAUACCCCAGUAGUC